ensembl:lncRNA novel transcript
GCCCCUCCUGACGCUCUCAGAGUCUGGCCUUCUGCUGGGCCCCGGGUCUCUCACUGGCAGAAUGGAGUUCUCGGAGCUGAUCCAUACGGGCUGAGCCCAAGCAGAGUUUCUACGGGGCCCGGAGGCGCCCCCGCUUCGCGGCACGGUGUGAGUCACCGUCCACCACCUGCUCCUGUCGCCAGGGCCCGCGUCCUCUCCGGACCUGUGGCUGCUGCUGUUGCGUAGCGUCGACUCCUUCGAGAAGCAGGUUGCGAGUGACUCGGGCACCAUCACCCUGUGCUGUAAAGACCUGCGAGUGCUGCAGCUGGAAAUAGAGGGCGCGGAAGCGACGCUGGGCAUCGCCCGCUCCAUCGAGACCAACGCGUGGCGGCUGAGCGAGGGUCCCAAACCACUUUGGCCACAACACCCCCAGACUGGUCCGAAGCCUCGUGAGUUCGCCCUGGUCGUUGCACUCCAGCCUGUCGCUGUGCAGACCUGGCUUAGAGGACCCCUAAGGCUGAGGGGUCACUUCCAGAACUGAGUCCGGUCCGCAGGUUCUGCUACGCUCCAGCCAGCCCCUAACUGGUCCCCAGAAGCGGCGCUGCUACAGGGACCAGGAGCUGCUGCGAACUGCGCUGGCGGGGGCUCGUCCUUGGGCGCGGGGCUUCAUCAUGGACACGCUCUCGGCCCAGGCCGCGAAACAAGCCCGCGUGACUGGCGGAGGCACAGAGACCAAGGCCGCUUAACCUGGCUGGUUGCACUGGUCCCUGGAGAGCACUGAGCACAGGGGCUGCCACAGUGGCCGGCUCAGACAUGGCAGAGAUCAGCAGAGAAUGGGCAAUCAGGCUCCCCUGAGAUGAGCAGCAGCGCAGAGGAGGUGCCCCUCUCUUACUACACCAACUUCAGAGGGCGUCCCCUGCAGGAGAGCUUCAUGCGCCUGGUGGAGGCCUGUGGGGACUCGGAGCAAAGCAUGGACAACUGGCUGAGUCGGCUGGACGGCUGCCGCUGACUGUAACAUGUAAAGCAGGCACUGAGCACCACCUGCCUGGCAGUCCAGGGCAUGGAGAGGCACAGACAGCACCCUGCUUGUGACUUCACUGGCCCAACUCAUCCUGGACCCCUUGAGCAAGACCAUGGCUGGAUUCCAGGAACUGGUGGAGUGGAAGUGGAUCCAGGAAAAUGCCGUGUGAAGGGAGGACUCAGAUGCACUCCCUGUGGUCUGGGCUCAACCAGCCAAAAGAGCAACAAAGACUCCAGAACCCACUCUACCUCCUCAAUCCCUUGGCCAUCUGUGGAGCCCCAGAGCCUGCGGCUGUGGCAAGGCCUGUUUCUGCGCUGGACCUGCUCACCUGAGCCUGCAGAAGCUGCAUGGGGGAAGAGUGUGGCAAAUAGUGACAGGAAGGGAGAAGACAGAAGCCUCUCAGCCAACUGCUUCAGCCGAGCCCCUAUUCUAAGCACUGGCUCCUUGGAUAGCAGCUGAGAUGUUCCUGAAACCUCUGCAGGCCCCUUAGGACCUUUACACCUUGGAUGAGGGUGCCUGCAACCCAGGUUAGCCAAAAGUACUGAGGGUCUUAAGUUUGAAGUGUCCAAAGUAUAGGGAGGUCUCAAUAAUAAAAGUCUCCAUGAUCAGCAUCA